AAACCGUGUACGUACAAGCAGUGGGAGCCUCUUUUAUGGGGUGACUGCGUACCUUUUGUAUAAUGGGUCAGCGACUUAUAUUCUGUAGCAAGGUUAACCGAAUAGGGGAGCCGAAGGGAAACCGAGUCUUAACUGGGCGUUAAGUUGCAGGGUAUAGACCCGAAACCCGGUGAUCUAGCCAUGGGCAGGUUGAAGGUUGGGUAACACUAACUGGAGGACCGAACCGACUAAUGUUGAAAAAUUAGCGGAUGACUUGUGGCUGGGGGUGAAAGGCCAAUCAAACCGGGAGAUAGCUGGUUCUCCCCGAAAGCUAUUUAGGUAGCGCCUCGUGAAUUCAUCUCCGGGGGUAGAGCACUGUUUCGGCAAGGGGGUCAUCCCGACUUACCAACCCGAUGCAAACUGCGAAUACCGGAGAAUGUUAUCACGGGAGACACACGGCGGGUGCUAACGUCCGUCGUGAAGAGGGAAACAACCCAGACCGCCAGCUAAGGUCCCAAAGUCAUGGUUAAGUGGGAAACGAUGUGGGAAGGCCCAGACAGCCAGGAUGUUGGCUUAGAAGCAGCCAUCAUUUAAAGAAAGCGUAAUAGCUCACUGGUCGAGUCGGCCUGCGCGGAAGAUGUAACGGGGCUAAACCAUGCACCGAAGCUGCGGCAGCGACGCUUAUGCGUUGUUGGGUAGGGGAGCGUUCUGUAAGCCUGUGAAGGUGUGCUGUGAGGCAUGCUGGAGGUAUCAGAAGUGCGAAUGCUGACAUAAGUAACGAUAAAGCGGGUGAAAAGCCCGCUCGCCGGAAGACCAAGGGUUCCUGUCCAACGUUAAUCGGGGCAGGGUGAGUCGACCCCUAAGGCGAGGCCGAAAGGCGUAGUCGAUGGGAAACAGGUUAAUAUUCCUGUACUUGGUGUUACUGCGAAGGGGGGACGGAGAAGGCUAUGUUGGCCGGGCGACGGUUGUCCCGGUUUAAGCGUGUAGGCUGGUUUUCCAGGCAAAUCCGGAAAAUCAAGGCUGAGGCGUGAUGACGAGGCACUACGGUGCUGAAGCAACAAAUGCCCUGCUUCCAGGAAAAGCCUCUAAGCAUCAGGUAACAUCAAAUCGUACCCCAAACCGACACAGGUGGUCAGGUAGAGAAUACCAAGGCGCUUGAGAGAACUCGGGUGAAGGAACUAGGCAAAAUGGUGCCGUAACUUCGGGAGAAGGCACGCUGAUAUGUAGG
rnacentral:rRNA from 1 species